rnacentral:rRNA from 1 species
CGUGUAGGCGGUUUGUUAAGUCUGAUGUGAAAGCCCCGGGCUCAACCUGGGAAGUGCAUUGGAAACUGGCAGACUUGAAUACGGGAGAGGGCAGUGGAAUUCCUGGUGUAGGAGUGAAAUCCGUAGAUAUCAGGAGGAACACCGGUGGCGAAGGCGGCUGCCUGGACCGAUAUUGACGCUGAGACGCGAAAGCGUGGGUAGCAAACAGGAUUAGAUACCCUGGUAGUCCACGCCGUAAACGAUGAGUACUAGGUGUUGCGGGUAUUGACCCCUGCAGUGCCGCAGCUAACGCAUUAAGUACUCCGCCUAGGGAAGUACGGGUCGCAAGACUAAA